rnacentral:misc_RNA from 1 species
AAGUCGUAACAAGGUUUCCGUAGGUGAACCUGCGGAAGGAUCAUUAUUGAAUUUUGAGAGGGGUUGUAGCUGGCGUUCUCGGACGCAUUUUGUGCACGCCCUGAUCAUUAUCCAUCUCACACCUGUGCACACUCUGUAGGUCGGUUACUGGGGCUACUGUCUUUAUUGGUGGUGCUCUGUGGCCUUCCUAUGUUUUUAUACAAACUACUCAGUUUAAAGAAUGUCAAUUGCGUGUAACGCAUUUAUAUACAACUUUCAGCAACGGAUCUCUUGGCUCUC